CAGUGCUUACCGUGCCAUAUCUUUGCCAAAACUGGCCCAGAUAGGUUUUAGGAUAACUGUGUCACAUUUGUGGCAUCAUGUGCGGGCCACUUUAGCCUCACAGCCACAUUAGCCAGAGUUCACUGUGCCAUAUCUUUGCCAAAACUGGCCCAGAUACGUUUUAAUAUACCUGGGCCACAUUUGCUGAAACAUAUGUGAACCACAUUGAGUUUACAGCCUGAUUAGCCUUUGUCGAUUGUGCCACAUUUUUGCCAAAGGUGGACCACAUUUGGUUGGCACUAUUUUGGCCAUAUUCACUAUUUCUGUUCUACUACCACAUGGACCACCUUAGGGUCACAUUCAGAUUACAUAUUGCCGUGAACACCACAUCUUUGCCUACAGAGGCCCACAUGUGAUUUGAUAAACGUGGGCCACUUCAGGCUUACAUCCAUUUUGUAUGGGGCCAUAAGAAGGCCACCAGUGCUGUGUCAUUGCCUUAAGUGGCCCACAUCCGCAUGCUAUCUGGGAUGGAAAGAACUUUACAGACUAUAUUGCUUUCUGCAAGAUAAAACAAUAUAGCAAGACAAAUUGUAAAGGUAAAUAUUUUGGCUUCUCUUGGUGCAAAUUUAGAUGCCCGGAAAUGUCUUUAUGUUUGGUCGUUACGAAAGACAAAGACAACAUGCAAAUAAACAAUUUCUACUGAGGGUCAGUAGAAAUACAAUGUCUUAUUUCCUUGUACAAAGACUCUUUUGAGGUAAAAAAAAACAACUGACAAUUUUUUUUGACAAGGAAUCAUGUUUGCUUGCUUAUUCAGACAGACUAAGUUAUGAAAUAUAUACGUAGGCUAUUUGCAUUGAAAUAAAAUGUGUUGCUUGUACAAAAUAUUUGCUCCAGAGGGACUUGCGACAAUACUGAACAAACUCUGAAGAUAUGGCUCAGUGUUGUCAUUCAGUCUUAACAAAAAACUAGUAAGUAGAGACAUGCACUGCAUUACUUUUCACAAGCCAGACCAUGAAAAAAAAAAAGAAAAAAAAAAAACUGAGGUAAAUGUAAUCACUGAAACCAAUUUUAUCACAUUUGCCAAUAUGUAUAAUUGCUUUAUAAGUUCAAGAUACAUAUUUCUUCUUGUCGAAAUCAACUGGUCAUCAGUUUCACAACUUUUAAAAAGAUAUUGUGUGUGUUAUGGUGUGUUUUAAUUUUGCACCACUUUAUCUGAAAGCAAUUUCUGAAUUGGAAAUGGGGUGAAAUAUUGCUUUAAAAGUAGCUUCAUUUGAAACUACAUAUUCUGUAACACUGUGUUAAGAUUAGACACAAUUUGGUUAGAAAUUACUUGUUCAGUCAACACCAUUAAACUGCAGUAGAUGUAUUGUCAUACAGAAACAUUAAAUAUUACAGCCUAAUAUAUAAACUGCAGCAACACAUUUAUCCUCCACCAUGUUAUUUAAAGCUUGAAAACAAAUACAAAAGCCAAACAUAAUAUUUGAAUGAAUAAUAGUUUAAAAUAAAAAAAGAACAGACAGGAUGGUCAACCAUCAAUGUUUUCAAGAUCAACAACAGAUAUGCACAAAGGGAAAACAUGCUGAAAAUUAUCAUUAGCCCUAAAACCCAAAUUAAUAUGAUUAAAUUUAGACUGCUAAAAUGUGCAGUAAAAUAACUGGAAUGACUGAUUACUUGUCAUUAGACUGCAAUUAAUUCAUUCACAUAGAGAUCAUUUAAUUCAAUAUCACCCUUAUAUGAUUGGCAUACACAAAACAGGCCCAUGCCCCAAACCUAAAUUUAAACUUAAAGGCAAAGUCCAUAAAAAAGAACAUCUUUUACAUAAUAGAUUAUGAUUAUGUUGUUUACAGACAAAAUCAUUUGCCCUUCUCUAUUAUCAUGAGGUUGCAUUGUGACAUAUAAAGGCAAUAUUAACAUGCUUUUCUUUUUACCUGGGUUCUGCGCUGUACAACAAACGUGAAAUUAUACAGUUUCAGGAUUGUAUUUCACUGUGAAUACUUCUGAGGCAUGGGUAUUUACAUUGAGAGGAAAUGUUCAUAUGCAAGUAGUUUUUUCUUUUUCUUUUUCUUUUUGCUGCACUUGUGAAAUAUGUUGACCCAAGUUACCCAGAGCUAGAAUUCUAAGUAAGAAAAUCCGCUUCGUACAAACCAAAAAAAAAAAGGUAAACACCAAAAGUAAACAGCGAGUUCCUGAUAUUUGUAAGAAGUGUUUACCUGCUGACCUGUGUUCACAGAUGCGAGUAAUGGUAAAAGUAAGUUCUAACCUGUGUUGAUAUUAAGUGAGGUGCACAAAAUCCCUAUUGGAAACAUCAGUAGCUGAUUUUUAUAUGCAUCGACCCUUUCCUAAAAAAUCAGUCACAACCAAGUGUGAUUCACAGCCUUUAAAAAAAUGAUAACAGCAUUACUUUCACUUAAAACACCUUUGCUUUUGUGGAUCAUUCUAGAAACUGUCUCUGUAUAGUUAUUAUAAGUAUAAAUUUGCCUAAAUAUGCAUAAGUGACAUGUAUAUAGAUAUACAAAUAUUCUAAAAACAAAACAAAAACACCCCCAUCCCAUUUUUUAAGUGCCUGAUGUAAUCUCUUUUUUUCCUCUUCGCCCUCCAAAUCUUAAGGGUUUAAGAACUUCCACAAUAAAUUUCAGUUCCUUUGGUUACUGAAAGCACCAGCUGGAAACAUCUGUUCAUAAGCCAAGUGUAAAGGAACUUGACCCCAAGGUUAAAGUGCCUUCCAUCAGAUGAAGGAAAAUCUUACACUCAAAGUCAUUCCGUGGCAUUUCGGCGUAUCCCAGUCAUCACAGACAUACGGUUUCCGUUUUCCUAAACGGCAUCAACGACCAAGUCCGCAUUUUGGUUCGUCUCAGCCUUAGACUCAUUUCUUUUCACUUGACACAAAAAAGGAGCGAGGUUACAUCCUCUGAGAGACCACUUACCCCUGCUCAAACACAUUCUUACAAACAAAGUAUUGCCAGACCAGUAAAACAAGUUGGUGCGACUAGCGAAUCUCAACGAGCGACUUAAAACGUAUGAAAAGAAAUAAACACUGAACAUAAAAUUCAGCUGAGUGCAUCCAUGCAUCUGCGUGUGACAGAUCGGUAUUGCGAAGUGAUGUGAGAGAGAGGUAACUGAGCGGUCUAUUGUAGCUUAUCUGAGGUUGAAGGACUUCCUUGUUUUAUAUCACUGUAUCGCCAACAUUCAGAAGAGCAAACGUCUGAAAUCCA